UCGAGGGGCAGCAUGGGAGUAGUAAUACUUCUGAUGGCGACCGGCGCACGGGUGCGUAACGCGUAUGCAACCUACCUGUAACAGGGGGAUAACACUGAGAAAUCGGUACUAAUACCGCAUAACACUAUGAGAGGCAUCUCUUGUGGUUGAAAGUUUCGGCGGUUACAGAUGGGCAUGCGUUGUAUUAGCUGGUUGGUAAGGUAACGGCUCACCAAGGCGACGAUACAUAGGGGGACAGAGAGGUUAACCCCCCACAUUGGUACUGAGACACGGACCAAACUCCUACGGGAGGCAGCAGUGAGGAAUAUUGGUCAAUGGACGGAAGUCUGAACCAGCCAUGCCGCGUGCAGGAAGACGGCUCUAUGAGUUGUAAACUGCUUUUGUACAAGGGUAAACCUGAAUACGUGUAUUCAGCUGAAAGUACUGUACGAAUAAGGAUCGGCUAACUCCGUGCCAGCAGCCGCGGUAAUACGGAGGAUCCAAGCGUUAUCCGGAUUUAUUGGGUUUAAAGGGUGCGUAGGCGGAUUGAUAAGUUAGAGGUGAAAUGUCCGAGCUUAACUCGGGAACUGCCUCUAAUACUGUUGAUCUAGAGAGUAGAUGCGGUAGGCGGAAUGUAUGGUGUAGCGGUGAAAUGCUUAGAGAUCAUACAGAACACCGAUUGCGAAGGCAGCUUACCAAUCUAUAUCUGACGUUGAGGCACGAAAGCGUGGGGAGCAAACAGGAUUAGAUACCCUGGUAGUCCACGCAGUAAACGAUGAUAGCUCGUUGUCGGCGAUACACAGUCGGUGACUAAGAGAAAUCGAUAAGCUAUC
rnacentral:rRNA from 1 species